rnacentral:rRNA from 1 species
UUAAGCGACUAAGCGUACACGGUGGAUGCCCUGGCAGUCAGAGGCGAUGAAGGACGUGCUAAUCUGCGAUAAGCGUCGGUAAGGUGAUAUGAACCGUUAUAACCGGCGAUUUCCGAAUGGGGAAACCCAGUGUGUUUCGACACACUAUCAUUAACUGAAUCCAUAGGUUAAUGAGGCGAACCGGGGGAACUGAAACAUCUAAGUACCCCGAGGAAAAGAAAUCAACCGAGAUUCCCCCAGUAGCGGCGAGCGAACGGGGAGCAGCCCAGAGCCUGAAUCAGUGUGUGUGUUAGUGGAAGCGUCUGGAAAGGCGCGCGAUACAGGGUGACAGCCCCGUACACAAAAAUGCACAUAUUGUGAGCUCGAUGAGUAGGGCGGGACACGUGGUAUCCUGUCUGAAUAUGGGGGGACCAUCCUCCAAGGCUAAAUACUCCUGACUGACCGAUAGUGAACCAGUACCGUGAGGGAAAGGCGAAAAGAACCCCGGCGAGGGGAGUGAAAAAGAACCUGAAACCGUGUACGUACAAGCAGUGGGAGCACGCUUAGGCGUGUGACUGCGUACCUUUUGUAUAAUGGGUCAGCGACUUAUAUUCUGUAGCAAGGUUAACCGAAUAGGGGAGCCGAAGGGAAACCGAGUCUUAACUGGGCGUUAAGUUGCAGGGUAUAGACCCGAAACCCGGUGAUCUAGCCAUGGGCAGGUUGAAGGUUGGGUAACACUAACUGGAGGACCGAACCGACUAAUGUUGAAAAAUUAGCGGAUGACUUGUGGCUGGGGGUGAAAGGCCAAUCAAACCGGGAGAUAGCUGGUUCUCCCCGAAAGCUAUUUAGGUAGCGCCUCGUGAAUUCAUCUCCGGGGGUAGAGCACUGUUUCGGCAAGGGGGUCAUCCCGACUUACCAACCCGAUGCAAACUGCGAAUACCGGAGAAUGUUAUCACGGGAGACACACGGCGGGUGCUAACGUCCGUCGUGAAGAGGGAAACAACCCAGACCGCCAGCUAAGGUCCCAAAGUCAUGGUUAAGUGGGAAACGAUGUGGGAAGGCCCAGACAGCCAGGAUGUUGGCUUAGAAGCAGCCAUCAUUUAAAGAAAGCGUAAUAGCUCACUGGUCGAGUCGGCCUGCGCGGAAGAUGUAACGGGGCUAAACCAUGCACCGAAGCUGCGGCAGCGACGCUUAUGCGUUGUUGGGUAGGGGAGCGUUCUGUAAGCCUGCGAAGGUGUGCUGUGAGGCAUGCUGGAGGUAUCAGAAGUGCGAAUGCUGACAUAAGUAACGAUAAAGCGGGUGAAAAGCCCGCUCGCCGGAAGACCAAGGGUUCCUGUCCAACGUUAAUCGGGGCAGGGUGAGUCGACCCCUAAGGCGAGGCCGAAAGGCGUAGUCGAUGGGAAACAGGUUAAUAUUCCUGUACUUGGUGUUACUGCGAAGGGGGGACGGAGAAGGCUAUGUUGGCCGGGCGACGGUUGUCCCGGUUUAAGCGUGUAGGCUGGUUUUCCAGGCAAAUCCGGAAAAUCAAGGCUGAGGCGUGAUGACGAGGCACUACGGUGCUGAAGCAACAAAUGCCCUGCUUCCAGGAAAAGCCUCUAAGCAUCAGGUAACAUCAAAUCGUACCCCAAACCGACACAGGUGGUCAGGUAGAGAAUACCAAGGCGCUUGAGAGAACUCGGGUGAAGGAACUAGGCAAAAUGGUGCCGUAACUUCGGGAGAAGGCACGCUGAUAUGUAGGUGAAGUCCCUUGCGGAUGGAGCUGAAAUCAGUCGAAGAUACCAGCUGGCUGCAACUGUUUAUUAAAAACACAGCACUGUGCAAACACGAAAGUGGACGUAUACGGUGUGACGCCUGCCCGGUGCCGGAAGGUUAAUUGAUGGGGUCAGCGCAAGCGAAGCUCUUGAUCGAAGCCCCGGUAAACGGCGGCCGUAACUAUAACGGUCCUAAGGUAGCGAAAUUCCUUGUCGGGUAAGUUCCGACCUGCACGAAUGGCGUAAUGAUGGCCAGGCUGUCUCCACCCGAGACUCAGUGAAAUUGAACUCGCUGUGAAGAUGCAGUGUACCCGCGGCAAGACGGAAAGACCCCGUGAACCUUUACUAUAGCUUGACACUGAACAUUGAGCCUUGAUGUGUAGGAUAGGUGGGAGGCUUUGAAGUGUGGACGCCAGUCUGCAUGGAGCCGGCCUUGAAAUACCACCCUUUAAUGUUUGAUGUUCUAACGUGGACCCGUGAUCCGGGUUGCGGACAGUGUCUGGUGGGUAGUUUGACUGGGGCGGUCUCCUCCUAAAGAGUAACGGAGGAGCACGAAGGUUGGCUAAUCCUGGUCGGACAUCAGGAGGUUAGUGCAAUGGCAUAAGCCAGCUUGACUGCGAGCGUGACGGCGCGAGCAGGUGCGAAAGCAGGUCAUAGUGAUCCGGUGGUUCUGAAUGGAAGGGCCAUCGCUCAACGGAUAAAAGGUACUCCGGGGAUAACAGGCUGAUACCGCCCAAGAGUUCAUAUCGACGGCGGUGUUUGGCACCUCGAUGUCGGCUCAUCACAUCCUGGGGCUGAAGUAGGUCCCAAGGGUAUGGCUGUUCGCCAUUUAAAGUGGUACGCGAGCUGGGUUUAGAACGUCGUGAGACAGUUCGGUCCCUAUCUGCCGUGGGCGCUGGAGAACUGAGGGGGGCUGCUCCUAGUACGAGAGGACCGGAGUGGACGCAUCACUGGUGUUCGGGUUGUCAUGCCAAUGGCACUGCCCGGUAGCUAAAUGCGGAAGAGAUAAGUGCUGAAAGCAUCUAAGCACGAAACUUGCCCCGAGAUGAGUUCUCCCUGACCCUUUAAGGGUCCUGAAGGAACGUUGAAGACGACGACGUUGAUAGGCCGGGUGUGUAAGCGCAGCGAUGCGUUGAGCUAACCGGUACUAAUGAACCGUGAGGCUUAACCUU